rnacentral:tRNA from 1 species
GUAAGUAUAAUUUAACUUAAAAUAUUAGAUUGUGAUCCUAAAAACAGGGGUUAAAAUCGCCUUACUCACC